GGGAUUAAAGGAGUAUACUACCACAGCCUACCAAGCCUGCUGUUUUAAUCAUGAGCACUUAACUUCUGAGGACAGAGACUAUACCUUUGCCUAUCCCGCACUUGUGUGAACCAUCAGUGAAAAGAGGAGGCUAGCUGAGAAGCAAGCAUCUCCAACCACAGCUCGCAUAAGUAUUAUCAACCAAGACCAUCAUCUGGGAUCACAGAGCAUCAACCAAAACUGUCAUCUGGGUUCUCAGAAUGAGUGAGUCCUACAUAUCCCAGCACUCCAUAAAGGACUUUGGGGGAUAGAUCAGUUCUGUCAGGACUGAUUGAUUGCUUCUGUUAACUUGAUAUGCUGAAGCUGUAGAGGAUAUGAAUUACAGGAAGUUACUGACAAUCUCAAGGAAAGAGAAAACACAGUUUCAUUUAAAGGACUGUCCUCAGGAGUGAGAACUUCAGUUUUCUUUGCAUCCACAUGACUAAAAUCCAGUUCUUUAAAAAUGCCUCCUCAAGCAUUUUUGUAGAAGUAUGCUGUGUGACACCAUGGCCUUAUGGGUAGUCCUUUAGUGACUGCGCCAUAGUUUUCAGUGAAAUCCCUUCACAGGGAGAUAAGACAAAUUCCACUUACUUUUAAAAAUUGUGCAAUUCAACAAUUUGUAAUUCUUCCAACAGUAGGGGUUGGGAAGGGAUUAUUGUCCUUAUGUUUUAGCUCAAUGAUGGAGCUAUUUCUGACAAAAGAUCCCAUUCAAGAUACAGUGUAUAUCCAAGUGUGUCAACUUGUACCUCAUAAUGUUCCUUUAAAUAACAGCGUAAGAGAAAAUGAGAGAAAGAGACAGAGAGA